UGCAGUCGAACGCUUCUUUCCUCCCGAGUGCUUGCACUCAAUUGGAAAGAGGAGUGGCGGACGGGUGAGUAACACGUGGGUAACCUACCCAUCAGAGGGGGAUAACACUUGGAAACAGGUGCUAAUACCGCAUAACAGUUUAUGCCGCAUGGCAUAAGAGUGAAAGGCGCUUUCGGGUGUCGCUGAUGGAUGGACCCGCGGUGCAUUAGCUAGUUGGUGAGGUAACGGCUCACCAAGGCCACGAUGCAUAGCCGACCUGAGAGGGUGAUCGGCCACACUGGGACUGAGACACGGCCCAGACUCCUACGGGAGGCAGCAGUAGGGAAUCUUCGGCAAUGGACGAAAGUCUGACCGAGCAACGCCGCGUGAGUGAAGAAGGUUUUCGGAUCGUAAAACUCUGUUGUUAGAGAAGAACAAGGACGUUAGUAACUGAACGUCCCCUGACGGUAUCUAACCAGAAAGCCACGGCUAACUACGUGCCAGCAGCCGCGGUAAUACGUAGGUGGCAAGCGUUGUCCGGAUUUAUUGGGCGUAAAGCGAGCGCAGGCGGUUUCUUAAGUCUGAUGUGAAAGCCCCCGGCUCAACCGGGGAGGGUCAUUGGAAACUGGGAGACUUGAGUACAGAAGAGGAGAGUGGAAUUCCAUGUGUAGCGGUGAAAUGCGUAGAUAUAUGGAGGAACACCAGUGGCGAAGGCGGCUCUCUGGUCUGUAACUGACGCUGAGGCUCGAAAGCGUGGGGAGCAAACAGGAUUAGAUACCCCUGGUAGUCCACGCCGUAAACGAUGAGUGCUAAGUGUUGGGAGGGUUUCCGCCCCUUCAGUGCUGCAGCAAACGCAUUAAGCACUCCGCCUGGGGAGUACGACCGCAAGUGA
rnacentral:rRNA from 1 species